AGGAUCAUUAUCGUAUAAACUUGAACAGGCUGUUGCUGGCCCUCUGGGGUGUGUGCACGCUUGUCUCAUCUUUGUCAUUUCUCCAACUGUGCACAUUUUGUAGAUCCUUGGAUUUGAACUCACGUUCGAGAUGGGACUGCCGUCGCUUUUUCUCUGGGAGAAGGCCGGCUUUUCCUUGUAUCUUUUCCAGGUCUAUGUCACUUUUUUCACAACCUCUUGAAUAUGUCUAGAAUGUUUGUCGGAUAUAUAAUAAUAUACAACUUUCAGCAACGGAUCUCUUGGCUCUCGCAUCGAUGAAGAACGCAGCGAAAUGCGAUAAGUAAUGUGAAUUGCAGAAUUCAGUGAAUCAUCGAAUCUUUGAACGCAUCUUGCGCUCCUUGGUAUUCCGAGGAGCAUGCCUGUUUGAGUGUCAUUUAACUUAUCAACCACUUUCUCAUUGUCUGAAUGUGGCUUGGAUGGUGGGGGCUCUUUGCAGGCCUUUUCUUUUAGGUCGGCUCCCCUGAAACGCAUUAGUGGCAUCUGAGCUGCUACUGUAGGUGUGAUAAAUUAUCUAUGCCUUUGGUAUGCUGCAUGGACAGAUUGCGCUGCUCAAAACAAAAAUUGACAGACUUGACCUCAAAUCAGGUAGGACUACCCGCUGAACUUAAGCAUAUCAAUAAGCGGAGGAAAAGAAACUAACAAGGAUUCCCCUAGUAACUGCGAGUGAAGCGGGAAAAGCUCAAAUUUGAAAUCUGGCGGUUCUCUGGACUGUCCGAGUUGUAAUCUAGAGAAGUGCUUACCUGUGCUGGACCAUGUACAAGUCUCCUGGAAUGGAGCAUCACAGAGGGUGAGAAUCCCGUCUUUGACAUGGACUGCCUGUGCGAUAUGGUGCGCUCUCGAAGAGUCGAGUUGUUUGGGAAUGCAGCUCAAAAUGGGUGGUAAAUGCCAUCUAAAGCUAAAUAUUGGCGAGAGACCGAUAGCGAACAAGUACCGUGAGGGAAAGAUGAAAAGAACUUUGGAAAGAGAGUUAAACAGUACGUGAAAUUGCUGAAAGGGAAACGCUUGAAGUCAGUCGCGUCGGCUGGAAAUCAGUCUUGCUUNUGCUUGACGUACUUUCUGGUCUGAUGGGUCAGCAUCAAUUUUGACCGCCGGAUAAAGUCAUUGGGAAUGUGGCAUCUCAGGAUGUGUUAUAGCCCGCUGUCGCAUACGGUGGUCGGGAUUGAGGAGCUCAGCACGCCGCAAGGCCGGGUCUUUGACCACGUUCGUGCU
rnacentral:rRNA from 1 species